GCCAGGCGUGGUGGUGCAUGCCUGUAAUCCCAGCUACUUGGGAGGCUGAGGUGGGAGAAUCGCUUCAGCCCAGGAGGUCGAGGCUGCAGUGAGCUUUGAUUGCACCACUGCACUCCAGCCUGGGUGACAGAGCAAAACCCUGUCUCUA
rfam:Pan troglodytes isolate Yerkes chimp pedigree #C0471 (Clint) chromosome 7, whole genome shotgun sequence.